CCAAGCCCCGCCGUCAUGUCGCUGGGCCUGGGAGUGGCCGUCGUGUCGAGCCUGGUGAACGGGUCCAUGGUCAUGCUGCAGAAGAAGGGCAUCGUGCAUGCCAAGCGGCGAGGUACCUCCUAUCUAACAGACAUUGUGUGGUGGGCUGGCAGGAUUGCAAUGGCUGUUGGACAGAUUGGGAACUUCCUGGCUUACAUUGCAGUUCCCACGGUCCUGGUGCCCUUGGAGUGCCAUUUGGGUCCAUUUUAGCUUCUUGUCUUCUGAAGGAAAAGCUCAACAUCUUAGGCAAGUUGGGAUGUCUGCUGAGCUCUGCAGGUUCUGUUGUGCUGAUUAUUCAUUCCCCGAAGUCCAAGAGUGUCACCACACAGGCUGAGCUGGAGGAGAAGCUGACCAAUCCAGUGUUUGUGGGCUACCUCUGCAUUGUGUUGCUCCUGCUGCUGCUGCUGGUCUUCUGGAUUGUGCCGGCCUACAGGCCCACCAACAUCAUGGUCUAUAUCAGCAUCUGCUCCUUGCUGGGGAGUUUCACUGUGUCUUCUACCAAGGGCAUCGGACUGGCAGCUCAGGACAUCUUACACAACAGCUCAUCCAGUCGGAGAGCCCUGUGCUUGUGCUUGGUGCUCUUGGCUGUUCUGGGCUGCAGCAUCAUCGUCCAGUUCAGGUCCAUCAACAGGCACUGGAGGGCUUCGAUUCCUCUGUGUUUGGAGCCAUCUACUAUGUGGUGUUCACCACAUUGGUCCUGCUGGCCUCAGCUAUACUCUUCCGGGAAUGGAGCCACCUGGGGCUAGUUGACUUUUUGGGCAUGGCCUGUGCAUUCACAACUGUCUGUGGGAAUUGUCUUGAUCCAGAUGUUUAAAGAGUUCAAUUUCAACCUUGGAGAGAUGAACGAAUCUAAUAUGAAAACAGACUAGGAGGCAAGCCAGGAGUUGGGGGGGGGGGUUCUUGAGGAACAGGCCUUGGAGCUGGUCUUGGGUCUUCCUUGGAUGUAAAGUAGAAGAAACGCUCAAUCUCUGUGUACUAAUGGUUGUCUAAUAGACAAUAGAAAGUCUGGC